rnacentral:rRNA from 1 species
CUAGUAUAGCAAUUAUACCGUGAAACUGCGAAUGGCUCAUUAAAUCAGUUAUCGUUUAUUUGAUAGUACCUUACUACUUGGAUACCCGUGGUAAUUCUAGAGCUAAUACAUGCUGAAAACCCCGACUUCGGAAGGGGUGUAUUUAUUAGAUAAAAAACCAAUGCCCUUCGGGGCUACUUGGUGAUUCAUAAUAACUUAACGGAUCGCAUGGNCCUUGCGCCGGCGACGGUUCAUUCAAAUUUCUGCCCUAUCAACUUUCGAUGGUAAGGUAUUGGCUUACCAUGGUUUCAACGGGUAACGGGGAAUAAGGGUUCUAUUCCGGAGAGGGAGCCUGAGAAACGGCUACCACAUCCAAGGAAGGCAGCAGGCGCGCAAAUUACCCAAUCCCGACACGGGGAGGUAGUGACAAUAAAUACUGAUACAGGGCUCUUUUGGGUCUUGUAAUUGGAAUGAGUACAAUUUAAAUCCCUUAACGAGGAACAAUUGGAGGGCAAGUCUGGUGCCAGCAGCCGCGGUAAUUCCAGCUCCAAUAGCGUAUAUUAAAGUUGUUGCAGUUAAAAAGCUCGUAGUUGAACCUUGGGCCUGGCUGGCCGGUCCGCCUCACCGCGUGUACUGGUCCGGCCGGGCCUUUCCUUCUGGAGAGCCCCAUGCCCUUCACUGGGUGUGCGGGGGAACCAGGACUUUUACUUUGAAAAAAUUAGAGUGUUCAAAGCAGGCCUUUGCUCGAAUACGUUAGCAUGGAAUAAUAGAAUAGGACGUGUGGUUCUAUUUUGUUGGUUUCUAGAACCGCCGUAAUGAUUAAUAGGGAUAGUCGGGGGCAUCAGUAUUCAAUUGUCAGAGGUGAAAUUCUUAGAUUUAUUGAAGACUAACUACUGCGAAAGCAUUUGCCAAGGAUGUUUUCAUUAAUCAGUGAACGAAAGUCAGGGGAUCGAAGACGAUCAGAUACCGUCGUAGUCUUGACCGUAAACUAUGCCGACUAGGGAUCGGGCGGUGUUUCUAUCUUGACCCGCUCGGCACCUUACGAGAAAUCAAAGUUUUUGGGUCUGGGGGA